AGUGUCUGUCUCCUCCUCUCAAUUCAUCAGCUGCGCUUGGUGUUCAGCAGCAUCCUACGGACCUGCACCGCUUUACUUUCUGACUUUUCUCCCGCAAACCACGCAACAAAAACACAUAAGAAACAAAUCAAAACGCUGAGCAAACCCUAAAAUUUUCUCGUGGGUCUGACUGAAAAGCAUUUCAGACAUUUGAAGCGCGAGUUCCCUUUCCGUCCUCGCAGGGGUUCGUGUGGCCACUCCAGACAUCAGAACCGCCGGACUUCUCUCGUUGACUCCACACUCUCGCCAGGAAAAAUGGGGAAACAGAACAGCAAGCUGACCCCUGAAGUGAUGGAGGAUCUGGUGAAGAACACAGAGUUUAACGAGCAUGAGCUGAAGCAGUGGUACAAGGGAUUCCUGAAGGACUGUCCCACCGGCCGGCUCAACCUGGAGGAGUUCCAGCAGCUCUAUGUCAAGUUCUUCCCUUAUGGCGAUGCAUCUAAGUUUGCCCAACACGCCUUCAGGACCUUUGACAAGAACGGUGAUGGCACCAUUGACUUCAGAGAGUUCAUCUGUGCUCUGUCCAUCACGUCACGGGGCAGCUUCGAGCAGAAACUCAACUGGGCCUUCAACAUGUACGACCUGGACGGAGACGGCAAGAUCACACGGGUUGAGAUGCUGGAGAUCAUUGAGGCAAUCUAUAAGAUGGUUGGCACAGUGAUCAUGAUGAAAAUGAAUGAGGAUGGCCUGACGCCCGAACAAAGGGUGGACAAGAUCUUCUCCAAGAUGGAUAAGAACAACGAUGACCAGAUCUCACUGGAAGAGUUCAAAGAGGCGGCUAAGAGCGACCCGUCCAUUGUAUUACUGCUGCAGUGUGACCUCCAGAAAUAGGCCAGAGUGUGAGCUGAGCACUCCACCAGCCGCCACGGACUGCACAGAAAGAAUUUCAUGUUCCAUUCAGUUUGCAGCUAUUUCCACUGAAAAAAAAAUGCUUGGACUACCUUUCAAUGGAUCUGCUUCUUGUGUUUGAAACACUUGUGUGCAUGAGAAUGUUAUUUGCUAUAAAAUAAUCUACACAAAACAUACAACAGUCUGCGGGUGCACACUGACACCAUUAACACGCUCACAAUACAUACAAACACACAUACACACACAUCUCUCACACCAUAUAAACAACUCGCACAAAUAAUAUAUAUAUAGAUAUAUAAAUAUGAAUAUAUUUAAAUUAUUUAAAGAUUAACUGCCAAAAUGUGAAGUGUGCAAACUAUUUUCCAUACAGUCUCAUUCUACACAAGCUUGCGCAUCAGCGAUGUGCUACGUUGAAUUUGCCGCUACUCUAUUUAUUAUUCCGAGUUUACCGAUGCUAGCUAUAUGUGUUUCAUAAUACUGAAUAACGUCAACUGAACCAGAUUCCUAUAAUAAUGUACUUGAUUCCGAUAAAACACUAUCCAUCUUCUCCAAUAUUAGCUCUAGAAGAGGUGGAUUCACGUUUGUGCAACUUUUCCUUCUGAAACAUGCUUGUACUGUCAGUAAAUACUGUAAAUGUAGUUAAUUUGCAUGCCUUUAGGUUCUGCCUUAAAAAUCUAAUUUUCAUCCAUUGAUUGAAGACAGAAUGCCUUAACGCAGUGCAGUGACUCAUGGGGAAACCGUGAGAGAAGAUUUUUACUGACUGGGGAGGGACAAAAAAGAAUCACACUACAGUAGGUCCUCCUACAAGUUACCGUGGUAUGGGAUGUACUUUUUGUGAUCCGUUGAGACAUUUUUGUUUUGACUGCUUUAACUGUGGGAGCAUGUUUCCUUGUAGAUUAGCUGUGCUAUAUGUUGCUAAGAGUUCAGUCCCUGCCCUGUGUGCAUUUAAAUACAAUAUCUCAUUAUAAAAUUAGCAGAUCUUGUAUGUCGAGGGCAUGUGCUUCUGAAAAAGAGAGAUAAAUUGGUACAUUGUUGGAAACAAAUGGAUGGAAGCCAGUGAGAUCAAACAAUUACAUUGAGAUUCCCUAAAUGAAAAAGCUGGAGUUUGAUAAGAUGAGAGAGAAGAAAGUGGUGUUCAUUAACAGUUAGAAAGCCUGUGUUUUAUGUUAAUAUCACAUCCACUUUUUUCCCAAGUAGCUCACAGGUUGCAUAUCAUUACAAUAAAUUCAGAGGGAGCUUUUUUGGAGUCUGGGAUGGUUGUUGAAAAGCAGAGAUUAGAUCCGUGCAAAGCAUAAACAUUCUUCUUUGUCUUCUUUGGAAGUACAUGAGUGCUAAAGUAAUGUGACGAGCAGUGGAUUGUGUUUCAGAGCAGUCAUUAGUAUAAAACCUUGUGUUUCGUAGGUUGGACAAUUUGCCCUUCUCAAUCCUCCAAAUUACUUCUCUUUUACCAACCAGUCAGUCUUUUUGUACUUUUUUACUCCCCUCUCUCACACAUUGCACACGUACUAAUGCAAACUAAAUGUAGAAAAGUUCAGUGAAGUGUGGUGCCUCCUAAGAAUGUCUUGGAAACAGCCACUUCUUUAAAUAUACUUAAGGAACUUUGCCUGGGGCCGACUUAUUACAAACUGCAUCACUAUUAAUGUUUUACAAGCUAAUGGAGGAUAAAAAGAUGUGAUAACAGACAGUACCGCAAUAAAGAAAUAUCACACCAGUCCAUCAUCAUCCCUCAGCAGUGUGUACUGUUCCAGUCAAGUUUCUAAUCUGAACUUCUUUACAUGAACAUCUUUGGCCAGAUAAUGUUUCUAAUUACAACUCUGUUAUAAGUAUUACUGCUAUCAAGAUACCAAAUGUAAGCAACGGCAACCGUGUACAAGGAUUCUUUUGUAGCAUGUAUUGUGUCCCUGACGACAUGGCUGCACUUCUCCCUGUGUUGUGAUUUAAUCUAAUAAAAAGAACUAUAUGGGCA